rnacentral:rRNA from 1 species
AAUUAUUUAUUUGAUGGUCUCUUACUACAUGGAUAACCGUAGUAAUUCUAGAGCUAAUACAUGCGUAAAGACCCGACUCUUGCGGGGAGGGUUGUAUUUAUUAGAUUGAAAACCAAUGCGGGCUAUGCCCGGUUUCAUGGUGAGUCAUAGUAACUUUUCGGAUCGCAUGGCUUUAUGCCGGCGACAGUUCAUUCAAAUUUCUACCCUAUCAGCUUUCGACGGUAGUGUAGUGGACUACCGUGGCAUUUACGGGUGACGGAGAAUUAGGGUUCGAUUCACGGAGAGGGAGCCUGAGAAACGGCUACCACA